rnacentral:tRNA from 1 species
AAAGUUUUAAGUUAUACAAACUAUUAACCUUCAAAGUUAAAUUAAGGGAUUAAAGUCCUUAAACUUUA